rnacentral:rRNA from 1 species
GACGAACGCUGGCGGCGUGCCUAACACAUGCAAGUCAACUUGACUGAAGGAGCAAUCUGACAGUAGAGUGGCGCAAGGGUGCGUAACGCGUAAGUAACUUGCCCCAAGGUAAGGAAUAACGUCGAGAAAUCGGCGCUAAUACCUCAUAAUGCAGCGGAUCCGCAUGGAUAUGUUGUUAAAGGUUUACCGCCUUGGGAUAGGCUUGCGUCUGAUUAGCUAGUUGGUGUGGUAACGGCACACCAAGGCUACGAUCAGUAACUGGUCUGAGAGGAUGAUCAGUCACACUGGAACUGAGACACGGUCCAGACUCCUACGGGAGGCAGCAGUGAGGAAUAUUGGGCAAUGCUCGAAAGAGUGACCCAGCAACGCCGCGUGGAGGAUGAAGGUAUUCUAUAUCGUAAACUCCUGUGAGAGCAGACGAAAGACAGAUUAUUAAUCUGGAUGACUGUAUGCUCAGAGGAAGCCCCGGCUAACUAC